UACGUAGGUCCCGAGCGUUGUCCGGAUUUAUUGGGCGUAAAGCGAGCGCAGGUGGUUUAUUAAGUCUGGUGUAAAAGGCAGUGGCUCAACCAUUGUAUGCAUUGGAAACUGGUAGACUUGAGUGCAGGAGAGGAAAGUGGAAUUCCAUGUGUAGCGGUGAAAUGCGUAGAUAUAUGGAGGAACACCAGUGGCGAAAGCGGCUCUCUGGCCUGUAACUGACACUGAGGCUCGAAAGCGUGGGGAGCAAACAGG
rnacentral:rRNA from 1 species